UUUAAUAAAAGCUAAAAUAUUUCUGCUUGGUUGUAGACGCGGUGUAAUAGUUUCGUAAAUAUUUGUCUUCACCAGCUGUUAUAUGUUACAAUACAACUCUUAUGAAUUGUUUAAAUUUGAAAAUAUUUAGUUUCCUUUUGAAAUAUACUCUACACAAACAAAUCUAAAAUUUUCGAACACAGAAUGUAAGUGUUAUUCAUCAUGUGAAAGAUAGAUUUAUUAAAAAUGUACAUUCAUGUGGAAGUAAUAUAAGCAAGCUUUAUAUAGUCACCAACAGAUGGAGCUAGAAGUCAAAUCAUCAUCGACGUUUCUGCGAAAACAAAAGUUCAGAAGUGCAGUGCCACCCCAAUGACAGUCGACACCAACCCACGACAGUUUAUUGGUCGCAUAUCCACCCUUGACAAUGCAUUCUUGCCUUUGCCACCUUUAUCUCCAGAUCUCAAUCCCUGCAAUUUUUAUAUGUUGGGGCUCAUAAAAGUUAGCCAGUAUAAGCCUCCUGGUCCAAUGACCAUUACUGAUGUAAAAGCCCUUAACGCACAUGUUAUCGUCACCAUCGAUACAAACUUGCUGCACAAAGUUUGGCUCUAAUUGCAAUUUAGACUUCAUUUACCCAGUAUAACAAAAGAAGCGCUUAUUGAACGUUUGUGAGGAGUACAUUCAAAACUUCCUUAUGUAUAUAUUAGAUCCUGCAUUUGCAUGUAUAUACAUUUUUAAUGAAUGCAUUUAUGACAUUUUGCGCAUGAAAUUGGUCCAGCUACUUUGACUUACUCUGUAUCUACAAGAAAAAUAAAAUAAAAUCACCAUUAAAAAGAAA